rnacentral:lncRNA from 1 species
CUUUCAUCCAGAAUGAGGGAUGUAACAGGAGAAAUAUCCCAGUAGUGUGGGAAAGCUAAUUAGGGGUUUGUACCCAUGGGAACUAUGGGAUAAAACUUCUAAAAUGUGGUGAUACUGAACAGUUGCUCUGAAUUGAUGUCUCCUUUGGAUUCUCCCUAAAGAUAAGCAUGAAGCUUAGAGCCCAGCCACCCUCAAAAAAUUGAUUAAAUUGGACAGAACUCUGCUUUAAAAUCAAACAGAGGAGUGCACUCGUGAAAGCAUCAAGGAAAGCAACAACAACACAGGAGGUGGGAAAGGACCCAACCUUUGCCUGAACAACAGUCACUCUUACAAGGAAAUCAGAAAAUCGUUCUUAAUUCUUUUCUCAUUGGUAACCAGGAUUUUGCCUUUCUCAAGCACUUAGGAGGUAAGCACUGGGCUAUGUGCAUGUUUUGGGGAGGUAUUUUCUCUACUAAUGGAUGGCCAGGUGAUCACCCCAAAUAAUUUCUCAUCAACAGCCUACAUGCAAUACACUGGAAUCUUUAUCCUUCAGGGCCUUGGCUUGAUAGUCCACCAAGGGGGCAGCCAGUUCCAGACAUGGUGUUCUUGUGGUCCCUACUACUAAUGGCAUAUCAGCUUGCCAUUGUCCAUUAUACAACCUUGUUGGUAGUCCCUCUGCCUUAGAAUGAGUGGUGGAAGUCCCAGAGACCAUCUGCCAGACACAGGCCCCACAUGUUGUCAUUUCAUGCCAGCAUACAACUAACAAUAGCUAUCUCCUCAGUAGUGAGAAUGACGCUUUAGGUGGAAGGAGGUGCCAGUACUUGAGAGAAACCAUAGAACACAAUGCAAAUCCAAAGUGCAAGCUGGCAGUUCCAUCCCAGACAACCUUCACGGUAUUAGGAACUUAUUCUUUGGAAAAGAGCAGUUAAUUAAAUCUGUCCACAUGUUCUUGGUCCUGACUGAGCCAUUUGGUUUGUGAAAUAAAUUGUUCUGAUCACCUACUGUUCACCCCAUUGGUGAAAGAGGGAUCCCAUUCCCUAACAGUACAAGACUGUUGAACACAGACACCUGACACUAGACAGAUGAGAUAAACACCUGUUUAUUAGUUACAUCUGUUUACAAUCUGUGGCAGUAGAAGACCACACACCAUACAGAGCCACAAGGAGGGUGACACUGGGUAACAGAGUAAAAGAGAAGGCCUACAGAAAGCCUUCUUUCUAAUAACAGGAGGACGGGGUGCUCCUUAGUCCCUGUGUAAAGAUGUGAUUGGCUUCUUUGAAUAAUUUUGCCGUUUGUCAAAUAACUGAAACCUGUUAGGUCAAGGACUGAGUAGGGUGCAGCUGAUUUGGCCAAUGAGGAAACAUUCCUGGUGGGAAACUUUCCCACUGUGUGGGGAGCCAUAUCAGGUUGGGAAAACACAUGGCUAGGACUUUGGGACCCUGUGAAACUCAAAGAUGUCAAAGUAGCACUUGAAAUUAUAGGACUGACAAAACAGAAUGUCCUAAUAAAUUACCACGGACUUGGUGCUUAAAACAACAGAAAUGUAUUCUCUAACAGUUCCGGUGGCUUCAUGUUCAACAUCAGUAUCACUGGGCAAAAAUCAAGGUGUGGGCAGGAUCACACUCUGGAGGCUCUAGAGGAGAAUAUUCCCUGUCCUGUCUACGUCUCGUGGCUGCCUGCAUUCCUUUGCUUGUGGCUGCACUGCUCCAAUUUCUGCCUUCACAUUGCUUUCACCUAUUCUGUGUGUGUGGUGGUUUAAUCUCUCUCUGCAUCUCUCUUAUAAGGAAAGUUGUGAUUGAAUUAAAGGCCACACUGAUAAACUAGGAUAAUCUCCCCUACUUCAAGAUUCUUAACCUAAUUACAUCUGCAAAGGACCUUUCUCUUAUAAAGUAACAUUUAGAGAUUCCAAGGAUUCAAACCUGAUAUCUUUGGGUGGUCAUUACUUAUACUGCAAAAAAUUUGGGUCAUUUAAAAAAUCUGUUCUAACAAUCUCUGACUUUAAAUUCCUGUGUGUAAACAUUUACACUAAUGUAAUAAUUGGUAUGUUCAGAUUUAGAUAUACCAUUUUAUUAUUUGUUUUCUAUUUGUUUCUUGUGAUUUUUGUUGCAAUAUUUCCUUGUACUCUGUUUUUGGGGGUUAUUUAAACAUUUGUUCUUAUUCC